rnacentral:rRNA from 1 species
CGGCCCCCCCGAAGGGUGGGAGCUAAUCUCAUAAAACCGUUCUCAGUUCGGAUUGUAGGCUGCAACUCGCCUACAUGAAGCUGGAAUCGCUAGUAAUCGCGGAUCAGCAUGCCGCGGUGAAUACGUUCCCGGGCCUUGUACACACCGCCCGUCACACCACGAGAGUUUGUAACACCCGAAGUCGGUGGGGUAACCUUUUGGAGCCAGCCGCCUAAGGUGGGACAGAUGAUUGGGGUGAAGUCGUAACAAGUUAGCCGUAUAA